UCAUCAUUAGGAAUAAAACAAAAAAAAGAAAAGAAAAAAAAAGGAGGACUUCAGAAGAAAACUGACGCGGCAGCGUAAACGAGCUCAAAUUGUGGUGUCAUUUCUGACGAAGCCAAGGAAGGGAAUAAACUUGUAGGCUUCAGAUACUAUUGAUGAAGACGAAGCUAGUAGCCGAUGAGUUCGCUAGAGUUGAUCCAGUUAUUGAGGUGAGCCGCCACAUUAUUCGUGGAGGCUGCCCAAAGAGUGUUUAUGAUUUAUUUAUAUGAGAGCUUUUGUAAUUAUCUUAGAUGCUCCAUGGUCUAGUGUGAGAUUUGGGCUAGAGUUUUAAUCUAAUAUUUUGAGAUAUUAAUUGUUCGUAAUAGUUAUCAGAUUAUUUGGGUACUCAUUUAAUUAAUCAAAUGCUGCAAAUUAAUGGCUAAGGUAAGUAAGUAUAGUUCGCCCGACAUGUGGUAUUAGCUGGGUGCCAGUCACGUCUAGGGGUAGUUUAGGACGUGACAACCACCUCCUAGGUGUUAUUAUUCUAGACCAUUUUAUUCUA